AGAGUUUGAUCCUGGCUCAGGAUGAACGCUGGCGGUGUGCCUUAAGCAUGCAAGUCGAACGGGAUUAGCAAUAAUUUAGUGGCAGACGGGUGAGUAACGCGUAGGAAUCUACCUCGAAGUGGGGGAUAGCUCGCCGAAAGGCGAGGUAAUACCGCAUGUGAUCGCAAGAUCAAAUCCGCAAGGAGCUUUGAGAGGAGCCUGCGUCCUAUCAGCUAGUUGGUGAGGUAACGGCUCACCAAGGCAAUGACGGGUAGCCGAUGUGAGAGCAUGAUCGGCCACAAGGUUACUGAGACACGGAACCUACACCUACGGGUGGCAGCAACUGGGAAUCUUGCGCAAUGGGCGAAAGCCUGACGCAGCGACACCGCGUGUGGGAUGAAGCUCUUCGGAGUGUAAACCACUGUGACGAGGGAUGAAUUUUGACAGUACCUCGUUAGAAAGCACCUGCUAACCACGUGCCAGAAGCCUCGGUAAUACGUGGGGUGCGAGCGUUAUCCGGAUUUACUGGGCGUAAAGCGUACCGUCGGUGAUCUUGUAAGUUUCUUGUUCAAGCCCAAGGCUCAACUUUGGAAAAGCAAGAAAAACUACAAGAAUUGAGUCUGUUCGGGGAACUUGGAAUUCUCGGUGGAGGGGUGAAAUCCGUAGAUAUCGAGAGGAACGCCAAGCGCGAAGGCAGAGUUCUAGAACAUGACUGACACUCAGGGACGAAAGCUAGGGGAGCAAAAGGGAUUAGAGACCCCUGUAGUCCUAGCCGUAAACAUUGGAUGCUAGCUGUUCCACCUAUGGUGGAAUGGCGUAAGUUAACACGUUAAGCAUCCCGCCUGGGGAGUACGGCCGCAAGGUUAAAACUCAAAGGAAUUGACGGGGGAGCGCACAACCGGUGGAGCAUGUUGUUUAAUUCGAUACGAAGCGAAAAACCUUACCCAGAUUUGAAAUGUAUCUGCACGGCUUAUGAAAGUAGGCCUUCUUCGAGAGUGAUACACAGGUGAUGCAUGGCUGUCGUCAGCUCGUGUCGUGAGACGUCCGCUUAAGUGCGGUAACGAGCGCAACCCUUAUCCCGUGUUACAUAUCACGGGAGACUGCUCCGAUUUCUAUCGGAGAGGAAGGAGAGGACGACGUCAAGUCAGCACGUCCCUUACAUCUGGGGCCACAAACAUCCUACAAUGGAGCCGACAACAGGUCGCGACGGGGUAACCCUGAGCCAAUCCUCUAAACGGCUCCUCAGUUCAGAUUGAGGGCUGCAAUCCGCCCUCAUGAAGUCGGAAUCGGUAGUAAUCGCAAAUCAGCAGGUUGCGGUGAAUACGUUCUCGCUCCUUGUACACACUGCCCGUCAAGCCAGCAAAGUUGGCAGCGCCCGAAGUGGAUGACUCUAACUCGCAAGAGAUGAGCGCUACUACGGCGAGGUCAGCGAUGAAGACUAAGUCGUAACAAGGUAUCCCUACUGGAAGGUGGGGAUG
rnacentral:rRNA from 1 species